CAGAACCUAAAUCGUAGUCCACGUUGGUCCAAGUCACAAGGGCUUCUCAGAGACCCAGAGGAGCUGAAACAGAGCGGCUGGCAGUCAUCACGGACACAGAGGGAAGUACGUAACUCCCGACGAUGGCAUCAAUUCCUUAUUUGAAAAAGAAAAGUGUCCCCGUCAAUGGAAUAUGAAGAGGAUGGAAGGAAUGACAUGGGCUGCUAUCAGUCAGGAGAAAGCGUUGUGCUUGGAACCGAGAGAAAUAUGUGUGAGUGGUCAAGGUGCCUAAGGAAUGGGACUGACAUGGGCCGUCAGGGAUGCUUGAAGGAUUAAUACUUUAGACCCAGCCUUUCAUGUCUUGGCUAUUGCAAUGGUCUCCUAACUAAUCAGCAAGCCGGUCUUCAACUUUGACCAAAUCAAGUUGCCCAUACCUAAAACCACCAGAAAGCCAGUCUGGAGUGGAAGAGACAGAAGCGAAGCUGCAGAGAGGAGCGAGGAGAGAUGGAGAGAGCAUCCUGUUGGCACUUGAGCCCUGUGUUCGACAUGUUUCUUAGGCCGUCAAAGGGCGGGUUCUACGGAAUCAGACCCUGAGACCGAGUCUCGGGUGCAGGAUAUUUAUUAGGGAGCAACACUCAUGGGAAGAAGGAGAGGAAGCAGUGUGGCGCAGAGAGGGAAACUGAACUACAACGCAGGUCUAACAAAGCCUUGGUCGACCACUCAGCGAACUUGUUGGUAUUGUCCUGCAUGGGCCACGAUGGCCUGGCCUUUAUAGUCCCCGUGACCAGUGACUGGGUCUGAGCUGCCCAGGGAAGAGCAUGUUCCUGGGUGAGGCAACUCUGUUGCUGAGGCAGACCCUGAAGUCACAGACGGUUGCAGGCUGUCUACUAAACACCCACCCACAUCUGGGGCAACACAUCCUUCUUUGAAAGGGGUCUGGGCAGCACAUCUCAGGUCCACCACGGAGGCCUGCCUUCGCCUGCCUUCCCUGUGAGUAAUGGUCAACGCUGUCUUUUAAUUAUGUGAGACACUCCAAAAUGCUUUCAAUACAUUUCCAUUUCGCCAAAUCAAGGUCAAGUUAGAUUUCUAUCACUUGCCACCAAGAAAGUCCUGACUAAUAUCCUCCAGCCAGAUGGCUCCCCAGAACACCCUCUCUACUCCUUCGGCUGAGAAGUGCCUGUGCUUUUUCUCCUCUACCCACCCAGUGAUGCAACAGGUAUUUCCCAAGCACCCACUGUGUGCCAGGCAGGACUCGAACUCCUCCUCUCCCAAAGCUCCAGCCUCGCCCCGCGGCCUUCCAUGGCCUCUCCGACCCUCGGCCCUCAGCACGUGCGCCCUCCUUUGAACGCCAAUAGCUCUUGUCAUCUCUGCUGUUCACUCAGCGCUGCUUUGCCUCUCUCUGGACCACUGGCCUCCAGGAGAAAUGUUCUGGUGGCACUGUUCUAGGAAAUAAGGGGCCCCAAGGAGGAAUGGGACUAGAAAAUUCCCGUGGGCUUGUCCCAUCCUCAGAGGGUGUUCCUUAAAUUUCGGUGCUCUUUCUAGGAGAUUCUUGGAGAAAUUUCUUCCCUAUCUCAUUAUCGAUAGCACAAGUGCUUCUGGAUAGCUGCCUGUUUUUUCUCUCACCGCCCUGUGAACUGUAUAACUGGCUACGUUCUCUUUUCACAUCGCUUGCUAGGGAGCUCAAGCCGAAUUUGUGACACUCUCUUAGCAAGCAUGUAACAUUCUAUGUCCAUGUCACUGACCACAGCCUCCAGGUAAUUGAGGCUGAGGACAUAUUUUAUUUGUUUAGUUGAGAUUUCUUAAAAAUAUAACCUGAAUGUCUUCAGGCUGGGCACGCAGCCUCUUGGUUGCCACAAACACACCCACCCCCUGUUGUAAAUACAACUUGUCACUUCACAUGUGUGCUACCUGCUGGCCCCCUGAAAGCGUUUGAUUUUAGAAUUCUUCACCUGUGAUGUGCAUUUUAAAAAAAUUUUAAUAGUAUGUUUUAUUUAACCCCCACAUCAAAAAUAUUAUCAAAAUAUUAUGUUUUAAAAAGUAUUAAUGAGUUUUUUUAUACUAAGCAUUUGGAGUCCAAUGUGUCUUUCUUUUCCUGUGGCAAAAUACACGUGACAUAAAUUUCCCAUUUUAGCCAUGUUUAAGCGCACAGUUCAGUGGCUUUAAGUGCAUUCACAUUGCUGCGCAGCCAUCACCAUCAUCCGUCUCCAGAACUUUUUCCAUCUUGCCAGACUGAAACUCUGUUCCCAUUUAAUAACUCCCAUUUCCCCCUGUCCCCACCAUUCUGCUUUCUGUCCUUAUGAGUCUGACUACUCUAGGGACCUGGUAUAAGUGGAAUCACACAGUCUUUGUCCUUUUGUGUCUGCCUCAUUCCACUCAGCAUGAUGUCUUCAAGGUCCAUCCACGUUGUAGCAUGUGUCAGGAUUUCCUUCCUUUUUAAGGCCGAAUAAUAUUCCAUUGUAGGUGUAUGCCACAUUUUGUUUAUUCAUUCAUCUAUGGUCUGCCUUUUUGUAUUAGCCUCAUUGCAUGUUGUUGCACUUGCUCUUUCUAAAUAAACUGCCUUUAAUCCUUUUAUGAGCAGCGCGCAGCAUAAAUAAAUACAUCCACAUGUUCCUCCUCAACAAGACCAUAAGCUCCUUAAAGACAGUGCUCAGCACAAGUUGGGCACAAAGCAGAUGUUCGACACGUGUGUUCUGGGCACAGGUCACACUGGCAUCUAACCCGGGUGAGGGGGCUGCGCAGGGUAGGCAGGGGAGCGCCUGCACCCUGGCCGAGGGGUGGGGGUGGCGUGCGGGGCACAAAGCCAGGGCAGCCUUGGCCAUCUUGUCUGCGUGUCGCUGGUUCCUGCAUCCACUCUGCGUCCUCCAGUAGCGUUUCUUGCGGGUCUUAGAGACGGCGCUGUCAACAUGUGUUACCUUAGAAACAGUGACGGGGCGCCUGGGGGCGCAGGGGCUGAGGAGCUGCUCUGCGUCCUCCCCCGUUCCUGGGCAGCCUCCCUGCCGCGCUGGGUGGGACGCCCGGUGGGCUCAGGGGACACUCAAGUGCGAGGCUGCUCCAGGGCUCAGACGCUUCCCCAGAUCCAAAUCCACGGAGAAAUGCUCUUAACUUUUAAAAAUAGAGAUACAAUCCAGGAAUCUAGGGGAAGCCUUUAAGCACCAGCCUAAAAGAGAAGCUUUGCGAAGAAGCUGCAGAGAGCCGGGUUGUCGCAGGGGGCCGGGCUACGGGGCCGGGGCUUCUCUGCAGCCUUCUAAAGGGUGCUGAAGGCGCCCCCGGCGGGCGCCUGGGGAGGGCCCCGCGCCGUCACUCUCCCGAAGGCUGCUUGAGAAGGUUGCCUGGGCGUCACUGCAGCAGGUUCCCUUAGAAUCGGGGGACGGGGAGGGGGGCGUCGGAGGCAUCCCGACCAACUAGAGGCAGCCGGGGGACCCUGUCCGGCCGUCGCGGACACGCAGACGUGGAGCCUGGGGGCCCACGGGGGAUCGGGGGCUCAGCACUGGUCUAACACUGCCCACCCCGGCCCAGCUCGCUCUGGGCUUAGACAGGCUUGUGGUUAUGAGGAUCUUUAUUUUUUUGAGACCGAACAUCAUUCUCUGUAAUUAUCACCUUUGGUUCGCGGUCUGCUUUAGCGUACGUGUGUCUAAUCCUAAAUGCACACACUCAGCUGGCCCUCCCUGGGCCAGGAAGUAGCCUGGAGGGCCCUGAGACCGGCCUGGGUGACCAUGACACGGAGGGGGUCUGCUGCUCGAGGAGGCGAGUGUGGGGAGGCACGGGGCAGGUGGAGCGUGGAGGACGGCUGCAGCUUUGGGGGGCGCGGGCAGCCUGCCGGCUGGGGAGGGCCUGCAAUGAUGCUGAAGGCAGGCCAAGAGCCGUCCAGGGGGCCAUCCUUGGUUCUCCCAGGGGCCCUGGUGACUGGACCAGAGUCCGCUGAGCUCUGGGCUGGGAGGCAGGAAACCUUACUCUGGUCCCAGUCUAUCUUUACCAGUUGUGUUAUCUUGGGAUGACUGUUUAAGCUCUUCCUACCUCAGUUUCCUCAUCUGUAAAAUUGGAUUAAGAAUGCUUAGCCUUUCCAUUUCCUAGGAUUGUGUUAAGGAUCAGAUGAAUUCUAGUGAGGAUAGGGGCUUUGAAGCUAGGACAUUGGGUCACAACUUUCUCUGCUUAUAUUUCUUUCUCGCCUUUACUUUCUCACCUUCAGUUUUCUUUGCAUUAUGUAAGAGCUUAUUUACAACCUUUUGUAUAAUGUUAAAUUGUUUGUACAUUUUAAGGUACCUCAUAUUCUUUUUGAAAUAUGGUGUGGAAUAAAUAUAAACAUACACAAAAU
ensembl:lncRNA